UAAAACAUAGUGUUAAUGUACUGGAUCCCAUUAGAACUCCAUAGUUAAGCGUGCUCAAGAUAGAGUAGUAGUGGGAUGGGUGACCACCCGGGAAGCCCUAAUGUUUUAC
rfam:Picea glauca, whole genome shotgun sequence.